GCCACCGUAGCUCAGUGGUAGAGCACACCCUUGGUAAGGGUGAGGUCACGGGUUCAAGCCCCGUCGGUGGCU
rnacentral:tRNA from 1 species